UUAUUAGGCAUAGCAAACCACACAUUAUAAAACAAGCACCGUAUACAGAUUGUGGAAAAUACGAAUUCGGCAUAGCAAUUUGCAUAAAUAAUACAGUCUAACACUACAACAUCACCGACCAAUCAAGAACCACUAAAUCUCUCUAUAAUGGCCCAGUCUUUCCACAUGGACAGCACUCAAAAAUGUAGCCACUAUCAAAGUAAUUUGAUCAUUCCUGUUCGAUGGCAGGUCCUGAACCGUUGGCGGCAUAGAACCGAGCCUGUUAGGUUGUAAGGCCUCUAACAAUUGU